CGGUACGGUACUCGACCAAGAGACUGGAUAACACCUGGAAACAGAUGCUAAUACCGGAUAACAACACUAGACGCAUGUCUAGAGUUUAAAAGAUGGUUCUGCUAUCACUCUUGGAUGGACCUGCGGUGCAUUAGCUAGUUGGUAAGGUAACGGCUUACCAAGGCAAUGAUGCAUAGCCGAGUUGAGAGACUGAUCGGCCACAUUGGGACUGAGACACGGCCCAAACUCCUACGGGAGGCAGCAGGG
rnacentral:rRNA from 1 species